CUAUUUAGAGAAGAUUGAUUUAGUAGAAGGAAAAUGGGAAGAAGUGGGUGCUGUCGUGAACUGGCAUCUCGCAUACGGGGGGAAAACUGUAAUUUCCAAGGAGAUAUACGAGAGCAUAGAUGACGAAAAACUAUCAGUUACAUUCAAGGUGA